rnacentral:rRNA from 1 species
ACUCUGGUGGAGGUCCGUAGCGAUUCUGACGUGCAAAUCGAUCGUCAAACUUGGGUAUAGGGGCGAAAGACUAAUCGAACCAUCUAGUAGCUGGUUCCCUCCGAAGUUUCCCUCAGGAUAGCUGGUACUCAUGUCGCAGUUUUAUCCGGUAAAGCGAAUGAUUAGAGGCCUUGGGGACGAAACGACCUCAACCUAUUCUCAAACUUUAAAUGGGUAAGAAGUCUGGCUCGCUCGAAUGGAGUCAGGCCCUCGAAUGCGAGUACCAAGUGGGCCAUUUUUGGUAAGCAAAACUGGCGCUGUGGGAUGAACCAAACGCUCGGAUAAAGUGCCUAAGGGUGGCGCUCAUGAGAAACCAUAAAAGGUGUUGGUUGAUAUAGACAGCAGGACGGUGGCCAUGGAAGUCGGAACCCGCUAAGGAGUGUGUAACAACUCACCUGCCGAAUCAACCAGCCCUGAAAAUGGAUGGCGCUGGAGCGCUCCACUUAUUCCGGGCCGUU